rnacentral:rRNA from 1 species
ACGAACGCUGGCGGCGUGCCUAAUACAUGCAAGUCGAACGCUUCUUUUUCCACCGGAGCUUGCUCCACCGGAAAAAGAGGAGUGGCGAACGGGUGAGUAACACGUGGGUAACCUGCCCAUCAGAAGGGGAUAACACUUGGAAACAGGUGCUAAUACCGUAUAACAAUCGAAACCGCAUGGUUUUGAUUUGAAAGGCGCUUUCGGGUGUCGCUGAUGGAUGGACCCGCGGUGCAUUAGCUAGUUGGUGAGGUAACGGCUCACCAAGGCGACGAUGCAUAGCCGACCUGAGAGGGUGAUCGGCCACAUUGGGACUGAGACACGGCCCAAACUCCUACGGGAGGCAGCAGUAGGGAAUCUUCGGCAAUGGACGAAAGUCUGACCGAGCAACGCCGCGUGAGUGAAGAAGGUUUUCGGAUCGUAAAACUCUGUUGUUAGAGAAGAACAAGGAUGAGAGUAACUGUUCAUCCCUUGACGGUAUCUAACCAGAAAGCCACGGCUAACUACGUGCCAGCAGCCGCGGUAAUACGUAGGUGGCAAGCGUUGUCCGGAUUUAUUGGGCGUAAAGCGAGCGCAGGCGGUUUCUUAAGUCUGAUGUGAAAGCCCCCGGCUCAACCGGGGAGGGUCAUUGGAAACUGGGAGACUUGAGUGCAGAAGAGGAGAGUGGAAUUCCAUGUGUAGCGGUGAAAUGCGUAGAUAUAUGGAGGAACACCAGUGGCGAAGGCGGCUCUCUGGUCUGUAACUGACGCUGAGGCUCGAAAGCGUGGGGAGCAAACAGGAUUAGAUAACCUGGGAGUCCACGCCGUAAACGAUGAGUGCUAAGUGUUGGAGGGUUUCCGCCCUUCAGUGCUGCAGCUAACGCAUUAAGCACUCCGCCUGGGGAGUACGACCGCAAGGUUGAAACUCAAAGGAAUUGACGGGGGCCCGCACAAGCGGUGGAGCAUGUGGUUUAAUUCGAAGCAACGCGAAGAACCUUACCAGGUCUUGACAUCCUUUGACCACUCUAGAGAUAGAGCUUCCCCUUCGGGGGCAAAGUGACAGGUGGUGCAUGGUUGUCGUCAGCUCGUGUCGUGAGAUGUUGGGUUAAGUCCCGCAACGAGCGCAACCCUUAUUGUUAGUUGCCAUCAUUUAGUUGGGCACUCUAGCAAGACUGCCGGUGACAAACCGGAGGAAGGUGGGGAUGACGUCAAAUCAUCAUGCCCCUUAUGACCUGGGCUACACACGUGCUACAAUGGGAAGUACAACGAGUCGCAAAGUCGCGAGGCUAAGCUAAUCUCUUAAAGCUUCUCUCAGUUCGGAUUGUAGGCUGCAACUCGCCUACAUGAAGCCGGAAUCGCUAGUAAUCGCGGAUCAGCACGCCGCGGUGAAUACGUUCCCGGGCCUUGUACACACCGCCCGUCACACCACGAGAGUUUGUAACACCCGAAGUCGGUGAGGUAACCUUUUGGAGCCAGCCGCCUAAGGUGGGAUAGAUGAUUGGGGUG